GACGAACGCGGGCGGCGUGCCUAAUACAUGCAAGUAGAACGCUGAAGAGAGGAGCUUGCUCUUCUUGGAAGAGUUGCGAACGGGUGAGUAACGCGUAGGUAACCUGCCUUGUAGCGGGGGAUAACUAUUGGAAACGAUAGCUAAUACCGCAUAACAAUGGGUGACCCAUGUCAUUUAUUUGAAAGGGGCAAAUGCUCCACUACAAGAUGGACCUGCGUUGUAUUAGCUAGUAGGUGAGGUAACGGCUCACCUAGGCGACGAUACAUAGCCGACCUGAGAGGGUGAUCGGCCACACUGGGACUGAGACACGGCCCAGACUCCUACGGGAGGCAGCAGUAGGGAAUCUUCGGCAAUGGGGGCAACCCUGACCGAGCAACGCCGCGUGAGUGAAGAAGGUUUUCGGAUCGUAAAGCUCUGUUGUAAGUCAAGAACGAGUGUGAGAGUGGAAAGUUCACACUGUGACGGUAGCUUACCAGAAAGGGACGGCUAACUACGUGCCAGCAGCCGCGGUAAUACGUAGGUCCCGAGCGUUGUCCGGAUUUAUUGGGCGUAAAGCGAGCGCAGGCGGUUUGAUAAGUCUGAAGUUAAAGGCUGUGGCUCAACCAUAGUUCGCUUUGGAAACUGUCAAACUUGAGUGCAGAAGGGGAGAGUGGAAUUCCAUGUGUAGCGGUGAAAUGCGUAGAUAUAUGGAGGAACACCGGUGGCGAAAGCGGCUCUCUGGUCUGUAACUGACGCUGAGGCUCGAAAGCGUGGGGAGCGAACAGG
rnacentral:rRNA from 1 species